UUAAGCGACUAAGCGUACACGGUGGAUGCCCUGGCAGUCAGAGGCGAUGAAGGACGUGCUAAUCUGCGAUAAGCGUCGGUGAGGUGAUAUGAACCGUUAUAACCGGCGAUUUCCGAAUGGGGAAACCCAGUGUGUUUCGACACACUAUCAUUAACUGAAUCCAUAGGUUAAUGAGGCGAACCGGGGGAACUGAAACAUCUAAGUACCCCGAGGAAAAGAAAUCAACCGAGAUUCCCCCAGUAGCGGCGAGCGAACGGGGAGGAGCCCAGAGCCUGAAUCAGUGUGUGUGUUAGUGGAAGCGUCUGGAAAGGCGCGCGAUACAGGGUGACAGCCCCGUACACAAAAAUGCACAUACUGUGAGCUCGAUGAGUAGGGCGGGACACGUGGUAUCCUGUCUGAAUAUGGGGGGACCAUCCUCCAAGGCUAAAUACUCCUGACUGACCGAUAGUGAACCAGUACCGUGAGGGAAAGGCGAAAAGAACCCCGGCGAGGGGAGUGAAAAAGAACCUGAAACCGUGUACGUACAAGCAGUGGGAGCCUCUUAAUGGGGUGACUGCGUACCUUUUGUAUAAUGGGUCAGCGACUUAUAUUCUGUAGCAAGGUUAACCGAAUAGGGGAGCCGAAGGGAAACCGAGUCUUAACUGGGCGUUAAGUUGCAGGGUAUAGACCCGAAACCCGGUGAUCUAGCCAUGGGCAGGUUGAAGGUUGGGUAACACUAACUGGAGGACCGAACCGACUAAUGUUGAAAAAUUAGCGGAUGACUUGUGGCUGGGGGUGAAAGGCCAAUCAAACCGGGAGAUAGCUGGUUCUCCCCGAAAGCUAUUUAGGUAGCGCCUCGUGAAUUCAUCUCCGGGGGUAGAGCACUGUUUCGGCAAGGGGGUCAUCCCGACUUACCAACCCGAUGCAAACUGCGAAUACCGGAGAAUGUUAUCACGGGAGACACACGGCGGGUGCUAACGUCCGUCGUGAAGAGGGAAACAACCCAGACCGCCAGCUAAGGUCCCAAAGUCAUGGUUAAGUGGGAAACGAUGUGGGAAGGCCCAGACAGCCAGGAUGUUGGCUUAGAAGCAGCCAUCAUUUAAAGAAAGCGUAAUAGCUCACUGGUCGAGUCGGCCUGCGCGGAAGAUGUAACGGGGCUAAACCAUGCACCGAAGCUGCGGCAGCGACACUAUGUGUUGUUGGGUAGGGGAGCGUUCUGUAAGCCUGUGAAGGUGGCCUGUGAGGGUUGCUGGAGGUAUCAGAAGUGCGAAUGCUGACAUAAGUAACGAUAAAGCGGGUGAAAAGCCCGCUCGCCGGAAGACCAAGGGUUCCUGUCCAACGUUAAUCGGGGCAGGGUGAGUCGACCCCUAAGGCGAGGCCGAAAGGCGUAGUCGAUGGGAAACAGGUUAAUAUUCCUGUACUUGGUGUUACUGCGAAGGGGGGACGGAGAAGGCUAUGUUGGCCGGGCGACGGUUGUCCCGGUUUAAGCGUGUAGGCUGGUUUUCCAGGCAAAUCCGGAAAAUCAAGGCUGAGGCGUGAUGACGAGGCACUACGGUGCUGAAGCGACAAAUGCCCUGCUUCCAGGAAAAGCCUCUAAGCAUCAGGUAACAUCAAAUCGUACCCCAAACCGACACAGGUGGUCAGGUAGAGAAUACCAAGGCGCUUGAGAGAACUCGGGUGAAGGAACUAGGCAAAAUGGUGCCGUAACUUCGGGAGAAGGCACGCUGAUAUGUAGGUGAAGCGACUUGCUCGUGGAGCUGAAAUCAGUCGAAGAUACCAGCUGGCUGCAACUGUUUAUUAAAAACACAGCACUGUGCAAACACGAAAGUGGACGUAUACGGUGUGACGCCUGCCCGGUGCCGGAAGGUUAAUUGAUGGGGUUAGCGGUAACGCGAAGCUCUUGAUCGAAGCCCCGGUAAACGGCGGCCGUAACUAUAACGGUCCUAAGGUAGCGAAAUUCCUUGUCGGGUAAGUUCCGACCUGCACGAAUGGCGUAAUGAUGGCCAGGCUGUCUCCACCCGAGACUCAGUGAAAUUGAACUCGCUGUGAAGAUGCAGUGUACCCGCGGCAAGACGGAAAGACCCCGUGAACCUUUACUAUAGCUUGACACUGAACAUUGAGCCUUGAUGUGUAGGAUAGGUGGGAGGCUUUGAAGUGUGGACGCCAGUCUGCAUGGAGCCGACCUUGAAAUACCACCCUUUAAUGUUUGAUGUUCUAACGUGGGCCCCUUACCGGGGUUGCGGACAGUGUCUGGUGGGUAGUUUGACUGGGGCGGUCUCCUCCUAAAGAGUAACGGAGGAGCACGAAGGUUGGCUAAUCCUGGUCGGACAUCAGGAGGUUAGUGCAAUGGCAUAAGCCAGCUUGACUGCGAGCGUGACGGCGCGAGCAGGUGCGAAAGCAGGUCAUAGUGAUCCGGUGGUUCUGAAUGGAAGGGCCAUCGCUCAACGGAUAAAAGGUACUCCGGGGAUAACAGGCUGAUACCGCCCAAGAGUUCAUAUCGACGGCGGUGUUUGGCACCUCGAUGUCGGCUCAUCACAUCCUGGGGCUGAAGUAGGUCCCAAGGGUAUGGCUGUUCGCCAUUUAAAGUGGUACGCGAGCUGGGUUUAGAACGUCGUGAGACAGUUCGGUCCCUAUCUGCCGUGGGCGCUGGAGAACUGAGGGGGGCUGCUCCUAGUACGAGAGGACCGGAGUGGACGCAUCACUGGUGUUCGGGUUGUCAUGCCAAUGGCACUGCCCGGUAGCUAAAUGCGGAAGAGAUAAGUGCUGAAAGCAUCUAAGCACGAAACUUGCCCCGAGAUGAGUUCUCCCUGACUCCUUGAGAGUCCUGAAGGAACGUUGAAGACGACGACGUUGAUAGGCCGGGUGUGUAAGCGCAGCGAUGCGUUGAGCUAACCGGUACUAAUGAACCGUGAGGCUUAACCUU
rnacentral:rRNA from 7 species